GUGCUCGAUUCAGCAGCACAAAUACUAAAAAUGGAAUGAUACAGAGAAUAUCAGCAUGGUCCAUAUGCAUGGAUGACAUGGAAAUUUGUGAAGCAUUCCAUUUUUCA
ensembl:snRNA U6 U6 spliceosomal RNA